rnacentral:tRNA from 1 species
AAGAGGUGUCAUGAACACCAAGAACUGCUAAUUCUUACUACUGAAGUUAAAAUCCUCAGACCUCUUA